ACGGGAGGCAGCAGUGGGGAAUAUUGGACAAUGGGCGAAAGCCUGAUCCAGCAACGCCGCGUGAGGGAUGACGGCCUUCGGGUUGUAAACCUCUUUCAGCAGGGACGAAGCGCAAGUGACGGUACCUGCAGAAGAAGCACCGGCCAACUACGUGCCAGCAGCCGCGGUAAUACGUAGGGUGCAAGCGUUGUCCGGAAUUAUUGGGCGUAAAGGGCUCGUAGGCGGUCCAUCGCGUCGGGAGUGAAAAGCUGGGGCUUAACCCCAGUCCUGCUUCCGAUACGGGUGGACUAGAGGUAGGUAGGGGAGAACGGAAUUCCUGGUGUAGCGGUGAAAUGCGCAGAUAUCAGGAGGAACACCGGUGGCGAAGGCGGUUCUCUGGGCCUUACCUGACGCUGAGGAGCGAAAGCGUGGGGAGCAAACAGGAUUAGAUACCCUGGUA
rnacentral:rRNA from 1 species